rnacentral:rRNA from 1 species
GACGAACGCUGGCGGCGUGCCUAAUACAUGCACGUCGACCUUAGUGGCGAACGGGUGAGUAAUACGUGGGUAACCUGCCCAUCAGAAGGGGAUAACAUUUGGAAACAGGGGUUAAUACCGUAUACUGAUGGAUGGAACCGCGGUGCAUUAGCUAGUUGGUGUGUUAACGGCGCACCAAGGCCACGAUGCAUAGCCGACCUGCGAGGGUGAUCGGCCACAUUGGGACUGGGACACGGCCCAAACUCCUACGGGAGGCAGCAGUAGGGAAUCUUCGGCAAUGGACGAAAGUCUGACCGAGCAACGCCGCGUGAGUGAAGAAGGUUUUCGGAUCGUAAAACUCUGUUGUUAGAGAAGCGGUAUCUAACCAGAAAGCCACGGCUAACUACGUGCCAGCAGCCGCGGUAAUAC